rnacentral:SRP_RNA from 2 species
GCCGGGCGUGGUGGCGGGCGCCUGUAAUCCCAGCUACUCAGGAGGCUGAGGCACGAGAAUCGCUUGAACCUGGGAGGCAGAGGUUGCAGUGAGCCGAGAUUGCACCACUGCACUCCAGCCUGGGUGACAGAGCGAGACUCUGUCUCAC